rnacentral:rRNA from 1 species
GACGAACGCUGGCGGCGUGCUUAACACAUGCAAGUCGAACGAUGAAGCCUAGCUUGCUAGGUGGAUUAGUGGCGAACGGGUGAGUAAUACGUGAGUGACCUACCUUUGACUCUGGGAUAAGCCUGGGAAACUGGGUCUCAUACCGGAUACGACCAAUCCCCGCAUGGGGUGUUGGUGGAAAGCGUUAUGGAGUGGUUUUAGAUGGGCUCACGGCCUAUCAGCUUGUUGGUGAGGUAAUGGCUUACCAAGGCGACGACGGGUAGCCGGCCUGAGAGGGUGACCGGCCACACUGGGACUGAGACACGGCCCAGACUCCUACGGGAGGCAGCAGUGGGGAAUAUUGCACAAUGGGCGCAAGCCUGAUGCAGCGACGCCGCGUGAGGGAUGACGGCCUUCGGGUUGUAAACCUCUGUUAGCAUCGAAGAAGCGAAAGUGACGGUAGGUGCAGAGAAAGCGCCGGCUAACUACGUG